GACGAACGCUGGCGGCGUGCUUAACACAUGCAAGUCGAACGGAAAGGCCCUGCUUUUGUGGGGUGCUCGAGUGGCGAACGGGUGAGUAACACGUGAGUAACCUGCCCUUGACUUUGGGAUAACUUCAGGAAACUGGGGCUAAUACCGGAUAGGAGCUCCUGCUGCAUGGUGGGGGUGGGAAAGUUUCGGCGGGUGGGGAUGGACUCGCGGCUUAUCAGCUUGUUGGGGGGGUAGUGGCUUACCAAGGCUUUGACGGGUAGCCGGCCUGAGAGGGUGACCGGCCACAUUGGGACUGAGAUACGGCCCAGACUCCUACGGGAGGCAGCAGUGGGGAAUAUUGCACAAUGGGCGGAAGCCUGAUGCAGCAACGCCGCGUGCGGGAUGACGGCCUUCGGGUUGUAAACCGCUUUCGCCUGUGACGAAGCGUGAGUGACGGUAAUGGGUAAAGAAGCACCGGCUAACUACGUG
rnacentral:rRNA from 1 species